ACACGUGGGUAACCUGCCUGUAAGACUGGGAUAACUCCGGGAAACCGGGGCUAAUACCGGAUGGUUGUUUGAACCGCAGGGUUCAGACAUAAAAGGUGGCUUCGGCUACCACUUACAGAUGGACCCGCGGCGCAUUAGCUAGUUGGUGAGGUAACGGCUCACCAAGGCAACGAUGCGUAGCCAACCUGAGAGGGUGAUCGGCCACACUGGGACUGAGACACGGCCCAGACUCCUACGGGAGGCAGCAGUAGGGAAUCUUCCGCAAUGGACGAAAGUCUGACGGAGCAACGCCGCGGGAGUGAUGAAGGUUUUCGGAUCGUAAAGCUCUGUUGUUAGGGAAGAACAAGUGCCGUUCAAAUAGGGCGGCACCUUGACGGUACCUAACCAGAAAGCCACGGCUAACUACGUGCCAGCAGCCGCGGUAAUACGUAGGUGGCAAGCGUUGUC
rnacentral:rRNA from 1 species